CUAUACAACCUUCUAGCUUUGAC
rnacentral:miRNA from 10 species